rnacentral:lncRNA from 1 species
UGAACAAUUCAAGAAACUGGCCCAAAUUUUUAGUACCAAAGUAUUGUGAAAUUCUAAUGCUUUCACUUUUUCUUUCCUAUAAUGUUUAUUCUUCAAAAUACAAUGGAGGAAGAAUGAGGAUUUGCUCUGAAUCUGGAUGAUAUAAGAAGACAGAGCACCAGGAUAAAAGUCAGGAAAUAUGGAUGCCAGUCUCCAUUCCAAGGUCCUCCUGGGGAAACAGCAGGUCCAUAUUUCUGACUGUGCAGGAAUUGGAGGCCCACACCAAGCAGUGUGACAUACUUGAAUGACAAAAUAAUGGAGUGAUCCCAGGGACUCAGGAGUCAUGGCAGAGGAAUUUAUUGCUUAGCAACCCAGACAAAUGUCAAGAGUCUUACCAAAUGCAGAUGAUGCUCUGUGGAAGAGACCUGCUUCAAGUCAGGUCAAGUAAAAACAACCUUGCCAGCAAGAUCCAUCAGUGAGGUCACUGAGAGAAGAGGAAACAUACACAAAGCUGCAUGAAAAAGAUAAUUCACCUUAUCAGUGCAACAGAAGUUUCAUAACAACGUAACUCCAGCAGGACACCUCCAUAUGAAUGGCUUUCCAUAGCACCAUACUGGGCAGAUUGCCAGCAAGUUCUACCAGCUUAGCACCACAGUGACUUCUCUGUCAUCUGGUGAGCCUAUGAUCGCCAAUAAAGGUCUGGAUCUCAGCCUGGGCUCUCUUCCUUGGAUCUAUGCUGAACCUAACUGGAAACUGGGUGGCAAGAGUUGAUACAGUCCACACAGGUCGGCCUCCUGGGCAGAGAUCAGAGUAGGACAGGAUGAAGAACACAUCUGGAGGGUCAAAGAGAAGCUAUGACACAGGGUAAAUACUUAAAAAGUACAAAUAAUGAAUGAUAUUGGGUUACAAAGGAAAUGAUGAGGACAGAGAAUAAGAAACACUAUAUUGUUGUGCAUAGUAGCAAACUAAGAAAUUAAUAUCCAAUGUAGUAGAAUGUGAGAAAUAUUAUGUAAAUUUAUGAAGAUGACGAC